rnacentral:ncRNA from 1 species
AUCAUUAAGAGUGGCUGAGGGACUGGCCCUGUGAAGCCCGGCAACCUGCUUUAAUGCAAGGUGCCAAAUCCUGCGGGAAACCGAGAGAUGA